rnacentral:lncRNA from 1 species
UACCCGAAAUUCAAGUAGAAGAACGCCUAACGAUCCCUCCUAUUGACCCAAAAGGUCCUAUUGUUCGGUUGUGUCACUCUAUUCAUCUAUCGCACACUAUGUCUUAUCGCCACCUUUUUCACGCUAACCGCGCACCGAGCCAAUUUAUAGCUGCUGUCAGAGGUAUUUAAAUACCUCACACGGCUCUAUGCGACAUGAUAUAGUCAUAAUGAUCUUUUAUCUUUUCACCUUUGACCUCA